rnacentral:rRNA from 1 species
GAUGAACGCUGGCGGCGUGCCUAAUACAUGCAAGUCGAGCGCAGCGGGGGCGGGUGAGUACCAGGUGGAUAACCUCCUAUAAGACUGGGUUAACGUCGGGUAACAGGAGCUAAAGCGGAUACUUAGAGAUGGAUCCGCGCUGCAUUAGCUAGUUGGUAAGGUAACGGCUUACCAAGGCAACGAUGCAUAGCCGACCUGAGAGGGGGAUCGGCCACACUGGAACUGAGACACGGUCCAGACUCCUACGGGAGGCAGCAGUAGGGAAUCUUCCGCAAUGGGCGAAAGCCUGACGGAGCAACGCCGCGUGAGUGAAGAAGGUUUUCGGAUCGUAAAACUCUGUUAUUAGGGAAGCGGUACCUAACCAGAAAGCCACGGCUAACUACGUGCCAGCAGCCGCGGUAAUUC